ACGUCUCCUGCAUUGCAGGGGGAUUUUUUAUCAUCUGAGCCACCAGGGAAGCCCUUUUCCUCUGUAACAAGAAACAAAGACAAAAACAAACCCUAACAAAAAUACACAGUUUCUGGAGGGAAAAACCCCAGAGUGCUGCUGGGUGACCAGCGGCCUACGGCUUGGCUUCAUUGAGUGGUGAACGCACCCCUGACCCCAUUCCGCGCCUUAAGGGAAGGCAGAUGCUUACUCAGGGUGAGCACACGGGUGAACCAGACCACUUAGGAUUUCUAGGGAAGGCAAUAUGGAAACAGCAGAGCUGCUGGAGUCAGAGGCCUGUGCUCCGUCCAUGAGAUCUCAGGCAAGCCAUUCCAGAGAACCCAACUUCCUCACCGUUAAGAUGCUGUACCACCCCGUCUGCAGCGAACUACAAAGGUGAUAUGAGCCACACCUGGCACUCAACAAAUUUCGCUCUCCUUUCCCUAGUGAAGUGCAGUUGGAAAAAAAAUCUUUCAAAACACUGAUGGGGAUGAGAAACGAUAAAAGGGAUGGCGAGGGACAAGAGGCCCAGAAACCAGGACACCAGUUAUUAACCUUGUCCGGCUCAGCAAGUGUGGCCACAGGUGCUGAAGGAGCACAGAGCACCCCCAGGCUUCGGGCAGCGCGGGUUCAGCCUCCAGACCAUGUGAUCACACAGGAAGCAAGACCUUUUCAACCCCGUGUUUAAAGACACACAGCCAGCCGGAUUCAAGCCUAAACCUUGCUUCUUCCCUUGACGAUGGACAUCUCGGAAGGAGCAGCUAUUAUAUGAUCAAGUCUCAUGGCUAAACAAUCUGUGUAAGUGAAAAAUCACAAAUAAAAAUAGAAAUAACAAGCUACCAACAAAACUAAUGAAUAGAUACUACUAGCAAUACCCAUGUCUUUUCUUUCAAAUAACCAGGCUCCACAUUCAGUAACAGCACUCCAGUGCUUUGUGGGAAGUAGUGUAAGGCUUGAUUGCCCUGUGUUAACUCAGGUGUUCAAGCAGACAUUCUUAGAAGCUUUAAGCCAGGAAAUGCUGUCUAUGGAGAGUCUGGCGAUUUGGAGACAUCAUCUGUCCUUGCUUCACACUGUGGGCUCCCAGGCGGGGCACGAGGUCUGCUCCGAUUUGGAGGGUUGGCAGCCUGACUUUUAGCGGAGGGGAGGUUUGUCUGUAACCAUGCAGCAUGAAGUCUUGAGAGGGAUUUGAGUUUAAAUCUGAUCUCAAGCUUUUCUGCUGACCUUAUGCCAACAUAUUCAACCAGAUGAGGCAUCUCCGAAUACCAGAGCAGGACCGUCCCCUGCCAGACAUUUUACAGAGAUGGAAACAGGUUCGCUGGUGCUCUGUGAUUUGCUUAAGGUAGGACUCAUAAGAGGUGAAGCUGGGAAAACAACUGGUGUGCCCGCUGCGGUCUAUUUUCUGACAGAAUGAGAGACCUCAUCAUUGGUUGGCCUGAGACCCAUUAGAGAAGGAUUACGUUGAUAAACAAUGUAUGUAUGUCUUUGGAAUAAAUGACUCUGAAGUUA